ACAGGGUUGCCUACCCCUGACCUAGCCUAUCAGAGGGCAAGUUGGAGCUAAUACCAUAUUGCUCCACUCUAGGGGUCAGUUUGGGAUUGGGCCGUGAUGUGUGUGAGAUGUUGUAUCCAGGGACUGACUUAGACCUGGGACACCCAAGUGGGUACAAUUUAAUUAUCAGGUGGAACAGAAAACCAGCUGGCUCUGGACCUCAUAGGUAUACCACAGCUCUCUGCCUGGCUGGCUGGAGCCCAAGUCAGAUGUGGACUGGAUUCCACCUACAAGGCUUCGGCCCACACCGCUGCUGCCCUGAAGCCAGAACUACAGACCUCCUACUGCUGGUGACUAGCUGAUCAGGAACAGGAAGUCUGGUUCCCUGAAGCCAGAACUACAGACCUCCUACUGCUGGUGACUAGCUGAUCAGGAACAGGAAGUCUGGUUCCCUGAAGCCAGAACUACAGACCUCCUACUGCUGGUGACUAGCUGAUCAGGAACAGGAAGUCUGGUUCACACGCCUGUGAAAGGUAGUCUUGUAAUGUUGUGGACAUCUUCCUUCAUAAACUAUGCUGGCUCCUUGUAGAAUGGAUCAUCUCUCCAUGUGAAAACCUAGUAGCCAUAAGGGUGGGCGUGUUCCACACAGCAGUGUCCUCCACUGAAUACGUCCCAUUAUGAGACAUCUAGGAAACUUCAUGAAAAUGUUCCCUGGUGUUAUUUUCCAGCAGCAACUGACCAUUUCAAUUAUACUUCCCAUGUGAGAAGAAGGGCUUGUGUCCUUCACCAGGCCUUUGUUCAGUUUCAUACAGUCUGAAUUGGUGUUACAUGACUUGUAGGUUUGGUAUGUGAGGCUAUUGAUUUUGUUUGGUAACAAAUAUUUCCAUGAUGAUUGUGAUAAAAAAAAAAAAAAGUAAUCAUCAUUCUUUGUUUUUUGUGAUUAAUUUCACUAUAUCACCUGAAGUGUAGAUGCAGUCAUACAGUCCCUGUAGAAUGUCUACAGCCCCUUGGAUUUAUUCACAUUUCAAUGUGUUAAAAUGGGAUUAAAAAUGAUACUUUUUUGUUUUAUUUCUGCAAGCUACACUUUUUUUUUUUUUUUUUAAAGAUGAUUGAAAAAUAAAACAUCUUGAUUAGAUAAAAUGCCAUCUACACACAAUACAAUAUAAUAAAGUGAAAACAUGUUUGUAGAACAUUUAGUCAAUUUAUUGAAUUGAAAAAUGGAAAUAUUUGCCAUGUGUUUUGCUGUAUUACUUUAGUGUCUUAUUGCAUACAAGAUGCAUGUUCUGGAAUAUGUGUAUUCCUGUAUAUUUGUAUUCUUCUUUUCACUCUGUCAAU